AGGAACUUCUGCUAAUCCCGGAUGAGCCGCAAGGUGAAAGAUUUAUCGCCUAGAGAUGAGCUCGCGUCUGAUUAGCUAGUUGGUAAGGUAAAAGCUUACCAAGGCAACGAUCAGUAGCUGGUCUGAGAGGAUGAUCAGCCACACUGGGACUGAGACACGGCCCAGACUCCUACGGGAGGCAGCAGUGGGGAAUUUUCCGCAAUGGGCGCAAGCCUGACGGAGCAAGACCGCGUGGGGGAGGAAGGCUCUUGGGUUGUAAACCCCUUUUCUCAGGGAAGAACCAAAUGACGGUACCUGAGGAAUCAGCCUCGGCUAACUCCGUGCCAGCAGCCGCGGUAAUACGGAGGAGGCAAGCGUUAUCCGGAAUGAUUGGGCGUAAAGCGUUCGUAGGUGGCUACUCAAGUCUGCUGUCAAAGACAGAAGCUCAACUUCUGAAAGGCAGUGGAAACUGAGUAGCUGGAGUGCGGUAGGGGCAGAGGGAAUUCCCGGUGUAGCGGUGAAAUGCGUAGAGAUCGGGAAGAACACCGGUGGCGAAAGCGCUCUGCUGGGCCGCAACUGACACUGAGGGACGAAAGCUAGGGGAGCGAAUGGGAUUAAUCCCCCCCUUAUUCAACCC
rnacentral:rRNA from 1 species